rnacentral:rRNA from 1 species
AUUGAACGCUGGCGGCAGGCCUAACACAUGCAAGUCGAGCGGAUGAAGGGAGCUUGCUCCUGGAUUCAGCGGCGGACGGGUGAGUAAUGCCUAGGAAUCUGCCUGGUAGUGGGGGAUAACGUCCGGAAACGGGCGCUAAUACCGCAUACGUCCUGUUGGAGAAAGUGGGGGAUCUUCGGACCUCACGCUAUCAGAUGAGCCUAGGUCGGAUUAGCUAGUUGGUGGGGUAAACGCCUACCAAGGCGACGAUCCGUAACUGGUCUGAGAGGAUGAUCAGUCACACUGGAACUGAGACACGGUCCAGACUCCGACGGGAGGCAGCAGUGGGGAAUAUUAGACAAUGGGCGAAAGCCUGAUCCAGCGAAGCGGCGUGUGUGAAGAAGGUCUUCGGAUUGUAAAGCACUGUAAGUUGUGAGAAAGGGCAGUAAUUUAAUACCUUGCUGUUUUGACGUUACCAACAGAAGAAGCCCCGGCUAACUUCGUG